UGUGUUGACAGGUAAUGAUUGAAUACAGAUACAGGCUGUCAGGAAAAGGGGAGGAGAAAGGGAGCCCUUAAAAUAGGGGGUGGGGUUGCGGCUCAGUGGUGGGGCGCUUGGCUGUGUGUGCAAGCUGUGAGCAUUUUGAGCGCUUGAGCUGACUGGACUGUGUGUACGUGUGUGUCCUUUUCACUAGCUCUGCCUUUUGAUCCCACUCAGCACCUGAGAUGGGCGUGGACUUCCAAGAUGUAAGUUAAUCUGCUGACCAUAAGACAUCUGGAAGCUAGACUCCACCCCCUGAAACCUAACCCCCCACACCAUUGGGGUGGAAAAAGGGGCUUUAGAAGUCCUCCUUCUCUUUCUCUCUCUCUCUUUUUUUUUUUUUGUGUGUGUGUGUGUGGUGCUGGGGAUUGAACCCAUGGCCUUGUACAUGCGAGGCAAGUACUCUACCAACUGAGCUAUAUCCCCAGCCCCCUCUCUUUCUUUAUUUCUGCCUCCCUAGUGGGAGCUGGAGCUGGGGAGCCAUCGCUGAAGAAUCACGAGAAAGAGGUAUUUUCCCUCUAGGUGUGGUUACUUCGUGCCAGCCCACAUUCACCUGGAGUGAACCUGAACGACUGACUUAGUUGUGUGUUGUGGCAACUGGGUUUCAUUCUCAGCCCUGCAUAUAAAUAAAUAAAAUAAAGGUUCAUCAACAGCUAAAAAAAAUUUUUUUUAAUAGGAUAAAAUGGCUGGGUAUGGUGGCACAUGUCUGUAAUUUCAGCAGCUCCGGAGGCUGA
rnacentral:lncRNA from 1 species